rnacentral:rRNA from 1 species
GACGUAGGGGGCGAGCGUUGUCCGGAUUCAUUGGGCGUAAAGCGCGCGUAGGCGGCCCGGUAAGUCGGAUGUGAAAUCUCACGGCUCAACCGUGGAACUGCAUUCGAAACUGUCGGGCUAGAGGCAGGUAGGGGAGAUCGGAAUUCCCGGUGUAGCGGUGAAAUGCGCAGAUAUCGGGAGGAACACCGGUGGCGAAGGCGGCGACCUGGGCCAAUAUUGACGCUGAGGUGCGAAAGCGUGGGGAGCAAACAGG